rnacentral:rRNA from 1 species
UGAGGAAUAUUGCGCAAUGGGGGAAACCCUGACGCAGCGAUGCCGCGUGAGUGAAGAAGGCCUUCGGGUCGUAAAGCUCUGUCAAGUGGGAAGAAUAGCGGCGGGACGAAUAAUCCCGUCGUAUGACGGUACCACUGAAGGAAGCACCGGCUAACUCCGUGCCAGCAGCCGCGGUAAGACGGAGGGUGCAAGCGUUAUUCGGAUUUAUUGGGCGUAAAGAGCGUGUAGGCGGCCGGUCAAGCCAGAUGUGAAAGCCCAGGGCUUAACCCUGGAAGUGCAUUUGGAACUGGUUGGCUUGAGUUCGGGAGAGGGAAGUGGAAUUCCGGGUGUAGAGGUGAAAUUCGUAGAUAUCCGGAGGAACACCGGUGGCGAAGGCGACUUCCUGGACCGAAACUGACGCUGAGACGCGAAAGCGUGGGGAGCAAACAGG